UUUUUCCUUUUUACGAAGAAGAUGCCAUUUUAACAUGGAUUUUUACCACAAAGUGACUAGCUUGGUAAAAUACCAUCGACGUGCUUCACCAGAAAAUAAAACAUAUGCCUGGUCAAGGAAACAAUCGUCUGGAAUCCUUUCGGCAGCCAUUAAUUCCUUUACCUGGAAGACGAAGUCUGAGACCUCCAUCCCAUGAGAAUCUCCACUAAACUGGAUUCCCCAUCUAUCUAGGCGAAAAUGACGAAAUUUGUGCUCGCUUCUUCGAGACUUUUUCUCCUUAUCGGAAAGGCUAUCCAGAGAAGACGUUGAGGAUGAGCUUGAUGAGAGCAAACUGCUCAAAGAAUCUAACGAAGAGCUCUCUGAAUCCGAUGAUGAACUCUGAGGAAACCAAUAUUAAACAGAAUGUAGUCUACAAAUCAAUAGAAAUAAUAAUAAAAGAAAAAUAUAUGUCCCCCCCA